UCGAACGGAUCAGAGGGGCUUGCUCUUCUGGUUAGUGGCGAACGGGUGAGAAACACGUGAGUAACCUGCCCUUCACUCUGGGAUAACGUCGGGAAACCGGUGCUAAUACUGGAUAUGACCUACUCGGGCAUCCGAUGUGGGUGGAAAGAUUUAUUGGUGGGGGAUGGACUCGCGGCCUAUCAGCUUGUUGGUGAGGUAAUGGCUUACCAAGGCGACGACGGGUAGCCGGCCUGAGAGGGCGAUCGGCCACACUGGGACUGAGACACGGCCCAGACUCCUACGGGAGGCAGCAGUGGGGAAUAUUGCACAAUGGGCGAAAGCCUGAUGCAGCGACGCCGCGUGAGGGAUGAAGGCCUUCGGGUUGUAAACCUCUUUCAGCAGGGAAGAAGCAGCCGGGUUUUCUUGGUUGUGACGGUACCUGCAGAAGAAGCACCGGCUAACUACGUGCCAGCAGCCGCGGUAAUACGUAGGGUGCAAGCGUUGUCCGGAAUUAUUGGGCGUAAAGAGCUUGUAGGUGGUUUGUCGCGUCUGUUGUGAAAUUUCGGGGCUCAACUCCGAACUUGCAGUGGAUACGGGCAGACUAGAGUGUGGUAGGGGAGACUGGAAUUCCUGGUGUAGCGGUGAAAUGCGCAGAUAUCAGGAGGAACACCGAUGGCGAAGGCAGGUCUCUGGGCCAUUACUGACACUGAGAAGCGAAAGCAUGGGGAGCGAACAGGAUUAGAUACCCUGGUAGUC
rnacentral:rRNA from 1 species